rnacentral:lncRNA from 1 species
CGACUAUAUCAGAUUUGUUAUUAUUUUGGAACCUUCUGUCUGUCUAUCAGGGCCUGACAUACUUACCAAAAUGGCAAUGGCAGAUACUUUAUUCUUUAACGGGAAACAGGAUAAAUACCCGUACCAUGUCAACUAUCCUCCGAACGUCCCUAAAUAUCCAAGUUCUCAAGAAAUGUUCCGGUAAGUUGAACCGCAUCAUUUUCUUUUAAGAAUUCAUUACAUGGACACAAUUUACCGUAUUCUCUUAUCCACCGUGACAACAGACAUUAUAUC